rnacentral:rRNA from 1 species
CAGUCGCCGCGGUAAUACGUAGGUGGCAAGCGUUGUCCGGAAUUAUUGGGCGUAAGGGGCUCGCAGGCGGUUUCUUAAGUCUGAUGUGAAAGCCCCCGGCUCAACCGGGGAGGGUCAUUGGAAACUGGGAAACUUGAGUGCAGAAGAGGAGAGUGGAAUUCCACGUGUAGCGGUGAAAUGCGUAGAGAUGUGGAGGAACACCAGUGGCGAAGGCGACUCUCUGGUCCGAAACUGACGCUGAGGAGCGAAAGCGUGGGGAGCGAACAGGAUUAGAUACCCCGGUAGUCCCUGUCUCUUAUAA